AUUCAGACCAGCAGCUCAAUACUGGUGGGACACACUUCCCAACUGACAAAGGGAGCAGGCUGGGGCACCCAGAAAUGACACCCACACAGAAGUCUAAGAAUGCAUAGCUGUUCCUGGCCAUAGUUCCUAUCACUCAGGAAAAAUUGUGUCUUCAGCAACUCUCUUUGGGUGCAGACCAGUGUUGUGAACUACUCACAGCAAGGAUGUAUGCCUUUGAGGUGGCACAGACCCGAUGGAUCAGACUUGGCCUCCAUCCUCCUCUUAUCCUGAUGAAAUCUCACAGCUCCAGACAACACAGAUGUAAAACUUUGACCAACAGUAAGAUGGCUUGAAGAAAUACUUCUUUCAGGACAAACUCUUUCUGCGCAUUCCAUAAGGUGGAUGGAUGGACUGAUGAGGACAAAGCCAGUGACAUCAUGAACAGGAAACAAUGUUUCUCUCAAGCUGCAGGUUUGAAAAGUCAAGCAGCCUCUUCCUUGGCUGACGACUCCUUUCUGACUCAGUGGAAGACAUUGUUCUCUAGUGCCAGGGGCUGUUAGAAACUUUGCUUAUGAGUAAGAAGAACAUCCCACUGCCUGGAUGAUCUAUAUCCACCUUUAAACAGAAGCACAGAGCUACAGAGGAGGGGUUUCUGGAUGGAACGUUCCACAUAUGGCCGGACUUUAUGGAUUCUAAGGACACAGGACCUAGGUCCACUUUGCAGACCAGAGUUGACACUGGCUGCCAACAUUGAGGCCUGCUAUGCUCUGAGUCCAUCACUACAGCCUCAAAAAUCCCUCCCCAUAGUCUUAUAAUAACCUCUUUGCUUUGUUUUUUGAAUCAUCCCAGGUUUGCUAUUGUGAAUUUAUUCCCUUUUUGCUACAAGCCAAUAAUUUUAAGUCUGUUGACUUGCAAAAUCAGCUUUGAUGACUGAUCACUCUAGGAUGUGUAUUAUUUUUCUGGAAUUUUGGAUGAUUGUAGUAUUUAUCAGGACUUUAAAAUGAGUAAUUUGUUGUGACUUAUUUCCUCUUCUUAAAUAAACACUCACUUCUGUGCUUAGUUUCUAAUUGGUUAUAUUAUGCUAUUUUUCAUGCAGAUAACCCUCUGAAUUAUGUAAGCCUCAGACCUCAUGGCACCUGGGUUGCCUCUGAUCAUAGUGCUGAAAAUCCACCUGCCCAAGGAAUGACCACACUGGUUUCUGCUUCCCAGGCCUCCAAUGGACUUACCUCUCCUUCCAGAGUGAUUUGUCUAUGCUGAAGGUGGAGUUUCUAACCUCUGUGGUUUUACUCUUUUAGCAAGAAUGUGUGACAUUAUUUUUGCUAAAGGAACUCUUAUAAUGGGCGCAAUAUUUCCAAAACAUGACCCUCAGGAGGCUUGUUUACUCCCAAAACCUGGUAGCUUCCAGAAGAGCGCAGACCUUCAGCUUGGUCCAGAAGAUGAAGACCCACAUGCUCACCUUCAAGCUUCCCUGUCCCCUGCUCCCCUCCUAGGAAACAGACACACUGGGAGAUGGUGGAGUGUUGCAGGAAGUCAGGGACCCCAAACAGAGGGACCGGCUGAAGCGAUAGCAGAAGAAUUUGGAUUGUGAAGGUUUUAUGGACAUUUAUUUGUUCCCCAAAGUAAUACUUUUGUAAUUUCUUAUGCCUAUGUUUACUGCAAUCUCCAAACAUAAAUUGGAAAGACUCCAUGGACGCUUAUCACUUCCCCGAUCAAUAGCCUUGAGCUUUCCUAUGCCUGUCUUUAAUUUAAUCUCUUAAUCCUUUCUGUUGAGGAGGAUGUAUAUCAUCUCAGAACCCUGUAAUAAUUGCAUCAACUACACAAAUUGUACAGCAUGUGUGUUUUAGCAAUAUGAAAUGUGGGCACCCUGAAAAAAGAACAGGAUAACAGCAAUUGUUCAGGGAAUAAGAGAGACAACCUUAAACUCUGACUCCUGUGAGCCAGGCAGAACAGAGAUAUAUUUCUCUUCUUUCAAAAGCAAAUGGGAGAAAUAUCACUGAAUUCUUUUUCUCAGCAUGGGAUAUCCCUGAGAAAGAGAAUGCGCACCUAGGGGUAGGUCUCUGAACUGGUCCCCCCAGGGCGUACCUGUCUCUUAUGGUUGAGACUGCAGGGGUGAAAUAAACUCCAGUCUCCCAUAGCACUCCCAGGUUUAUUAGGAAGAGGAAAUUCCCGCCUAAUAAAUUUUGGUCAGACUGGUUGAUCUCAAAACUCUGUCUCCUUAUAAGAUAUUAUCAGUGACAAUGGUGCCCAAAACUUCAUUAGCAAUUUUAGUUUCGCCUCGGUCCUGUGGUCAUGUGAUCUCACCCUGCCUCCACUGGCCUUGUGAUAUUCUAUUACCUUGUAAAGUACUUGAUGUCUGUCACCCACACCUAUUCGCACACUCUCUCCCUUUUUGAAAGUCCGUAAUAAAAACUUGCUGGUUUUUGCUGCUUA